UCAUCACCAUCAUCACCCAAGGUAGUCUUUCGGGAGAUGUACGCAUACCCGGGAGGCAGGAAACUCCCGGAGGUUAAAAAUCCAAAGAAUUUUAGAUUUAAACCCUCGGGAGACUAACAUCUUCCGAGGGUUUUUUCGU
rfam:Vibrio mytili strain CAIM 528 contig00082, whole genome shotgun sequence.